ACGUAGGGGGCGAGCGUUAUUCGGAAUUACUGGGUGUAAAGGGUAUGUAGGCGGCCCUUCAAGUCGCGUGUCAAAGUCCAGUGCUCAACGCUGGGUGUGCGCGCGAUACUGACGGGCUUGAGGGCUGGAGAGGUGAGCGGAAUUCCCGGUGUAGUGGUAAAAUACGUAGAGAUCGGGAGGAACCCCAGCGGCGCAGGCAGCUCACUAGACAUUAUCUCCCACUAAGAUACGAAAGCGUGGUAAGCAAACAG
rnacentral:rRNA from 1 species